UACGUAGGGAGCAAGCGUUGUCCGGAAUCAUUGGGCGUAAAGCGCGCGUAGGUGGCCUCAUAAGCCCGCUGUGAAAGUCAAAGGCUCAACCUUUGAAAGCCGGUGGAUACUGUGAGGCUAGAGUACGGAAGAGGCGAGUGGAAUUCCUGGUGUAGCGGUGGAAUGCGCAGAUAUCAGGAGGAACACCAAUAGCGAAGGCAGCUCGCUGGGACGUUACUGACACUGAGGCGCGAAAGCGUGGGGAGCGAACAGG
rnacentral:rRNA from 1 species